rnacentral:rRNA from 1 species
UACGUAGGAUGCAAGCGUUGUUCGGAAUUACUGGGCGUAAAGAGUACGUAGGCGGUUUGGUAAGUCUGAUAUUAAAGACCGGAGCUCAACUUCGGGACUGUAUCGGAAACUGUCAGACUAGAGGACAAUAGAGGAAGUCGGAAUUCUCAGUGUAGCGGUGAAAUGCGUAGAUAUCGGGAAGAACACCAGUGGCGAAAGCGGACUUCUGGGCAGUAACUGACGCUGAGGAGCGAAAGCGUGGGGAGCGAACAGG